rnacentral:rRNA from 1 species
AACGAACGCUGGCGGCAUGCCUAACACAUGCAAGUCGAACGAGACCUUCGGGUCUAGUGGCGAACGGGUGCGUAACGCGUGGGAACCUGCCCUUAGGUUCGGAAUAACUCCCCGAAAGGGGUGCUAAUUCCGGGUAAUGUCUUCGGACCAAAGAUUUAUCGCCUUUGGAUGGGCCCGCGUUGGAUUAGCUAGUUGGUAGGGUAAAAGCCUACCAAGGCGACGAUCCAUAGCUGGUCUGAGAGGAUGAUCAGCCACACUGGGACUGAGACACGGCCCAGACUCCUACGGGAGGCAGCAGUGGGGAAUAUUGGACAAUGGGCGAAAGCCUGAUCCAGCAAUGCCGCGUGAGUGAUGAAGGCCUUAGGGUUGUAAAGCUCUUUUACCCGGGAUGAUAAUGACAGUACCGGGAGAAUAAGCUCCGGCUAACUCCGUG